GUUUUAUAUGUUUUCCAUUGUUAUAAGCUGUGAGGAGAUGCAGAAGCAAGUGAUGUGAAUAACAUUUAAUUGCUGGCAAGUAAUACAGGUAACCUGUGAUUGAGGACAGGAUGGCAUGUGAGGGCCCCCAGAAUAAAAGUGAUAACAGUCGUCAAAAAGCAAAUAACUUUUAAAAAUACAGAAUUCUGUUAAACUGUUAAUUUUUAUUUAAAAAAAAAAAAAAUAGUGCACAGCUAUGCAUUUGCAGGUCUUAGCUGGAGUCUGCAGAGACAGACAAAAGUGCCACCAUACAAAGCAACAACAACAAUAAUAAUAAUAAUAAACAACUGCUAUUUCUGAACAGCCUAAAAUUUGGAAGAACUGCAAGUCUUGUGAGACUGACUUGUCUCAGAAGGUAUGGGCAAUUCAGAUAAGCAGUGAAUAACCAUCAAACGUUUUGCUGCUUGCUAAUCUUUGGUUUCAAACUUUUUUUUUUUUUUUUUUUUUUUUUUUAGGCUUAUCUGUCACAACAAAAAGAAAAAGGAGGCAAGGCACUAUUAUGGUCAAAAUGUCAUAAAACAUUUAAUAAUAAUUUAAAACAUUUAAUAAUAAGAGGCUUUUCAGUGCUCUUUGGCAUUUCUUGGUACCUGCACCCUGAGGCUAACAACUCACAAUACAGAAACGUUUGGUCUAUGUUAAUUUAACAAAAGCAGCUAUCAAGGUGUUUUCAGAUCUCUACAUUUUCCUCUGAAGUUCUCUCAGAAGCAAUCUGAAGAGAUUAAAAAAAAUACACAUGGAUGCUGGAACAUGUUUGGUUUGUCACUUUUGUAUCCACUUUAAUAACUAGAACUUGAAAAAGGUUAUUAAUUUUGAUGGGGCUGGCAUGCCUCUUUUGUCUCUGAAACUAUUCAUGUUAACCUGAGAAGACAGAAUGGUUUUAGCAGCUUCCUAAAAGCUGUCAUAACUAUUACAUUCUCCAAAAUUUGAUAAAUCAAUGCCUGUUAUUUUUGCAAGAAAACCAUCUGCCUCUGUCUAUUCUUUCUUCUGUAAAUCUUGAGCUGCCAUUUCUCAUUUGCCUUUCAUGGCUGGUAUUACAAAAUUGCUUAUUAAAAUGGUUUCAGAAAUAAAUUCCUAUAACAAAUUCUAGAGUAUAAUCACUAACAAUAUUGGCAAGGAUAUGGAUUUUUUUUUUUUUUGUCCAUCUAUUUUUCCCUUCUAAAGUGCAAUAAAUUGUUGACCUUUUCUACUUCAAAAGACAAAUUCUAUUUUAUUAUGUACCUUGUAUCUCAGUAUCUUGUUGACUGUAGUACAUUAUGAAUUUUACUGGAUAACAUAGUUCCUCCUAUCAAGAACUGGAUAUACCUUACUACAGUUCAUUGAAAUGUCUGACUGCUUUGGAAUAGAGUAAAAAUCUCUUGACAGAUGUCCUGACAAAGCAAUAAUGAAAAGGUCACUCUAGUUUUCCUGCAGCAUUCAUCUUGUUUCUUUAGUGGCUGUGUACCAUAAACUAGAUCCAAUUAUAUCUAAUUAGAAACACCAAGUUCCAUAAUAGAAGUUAAAAAGCCAUUAAAUGCUUGUAUUAAAAUUAUCACACAUUAUAUUUCAAAAUUCUAAAACUGUUAAAUGGCAUCUCAUCAACAUUACUAUUCAGAUCCAGUCUAAAAUCUUUUUACCUUUUCUAAAGAUCAAGGUCACAGAGCUCAGCAGUUCUUGUUUUAUGGGGCCUUGGGGCCAUUUUGAACUAUUACUACUUCGAGAAUUGUUGAUUAUAAUUGAAUACUGGAAUAAAAGUACAUCAUAGACAUUCUGAGCAAGUCUUCCCUGACAACAUUAUCAAUGUAUGGAAUAACAAAUGCCUGAUAUUCAGUGACAAUUAUGAAAAUGCUUGCUUAUCAUUUUUUGUCAUGCUAUGAUAAGCCACAAAUUAAUAAAGACUAAGUCUAAAAAUAUUGCA